UACGUAGGAGACGAGCGUUAAUCGGAAUUACUGGGCGUAAAGCGUGCGUAGGCGGUUCGUUAAGUCUGUUGUGAAAGCCCCGGGCUCAACCUGGGAAUGGCAAUGGAUACUGGCGAGCUAGAGUGUGUCAGAGGAUGGUGGAAUUCCCGGUGUAGCGGUGAAAUGCGUAGAGAUCGGGAGGAACAUCAGUGGCGAAGGCGGCCAUCUGGGACAACACUGACGCUGAGGCACGAAAGCGUGGGGAGCAAACAGG
rnacentral:rRNA from 1 species